AAUGGGAGAAAUCCUGAAGCAGCAACGCCGCGUGGAGGAUGAAGGGUCUAUGACUUGUAAACUCCUGUAAAGAAGGAAAAAAUUCCCAUUUGAUGGGAGAUGAUGGUACUUCUGGAGUAAGCCCCGGCUAACUACGUGCCAGCAGCCGCGGUAAUACGUAGGGGGCAAGCGUUGUCCGGCUUUACUGGGUGUAAAGGCUGCUCAGGCGGAUCUGUAAGUCAGAGGUGAAAUCUUACAGCUUAACUGUGAAACUGCCUUUGGUACGGCAAGCCUAGAGUAUGGAAGAGAGUGAUGGAAUAUCUGGUGUAGCAGUGAAAUGCUUAGAUAUCAGAUAGAACACCAAUGGCGAAGGCAGUCACUUGGUCCAUUACUGACGCUAAAGCAC
rnacentral:rRNA from 1 species